CACCUCUAGCCAACUCAACAUGUAUUAGAGGCACUGCCUGCCCAGUGAUUAAUUUUAACGGCCGCGGUAUUCUGACCGUGCAAAGGUAGCAUAAUCACUUGUCUUUUAAAUAAAGACUAGUAUGAAUGGCAACACGAAAGCUAAACUGUCUCCUCUAUCCAGUCAAUGAAACUGAUCUUCCUGUACAAAAGCAGGAAUAUAUUAACAAGACGAGAAGACCCUAUGGAACUUAAAACACAUAACCACUUCCUAACCUACUAUUAGAAAAACUGGAAUAUUGUUUUUGGUUGGGGUGACCUCGGAGAAAAAUUAAACCUCCGAAAAAUACUAAGAUACACACAUCACAGUACUAAAACCUUAAACUCAUGACCCAAUUAAUUUGAUCAACGAACCAAGUUACCCUAGGGAUAACAGCGCAAUCUUCUUCAAGAGCCCAUAUCGCCAAGAAGGUUUACGACCUCGAUGUUGGAUCAGGAUUACCAGACAGUGCAGCCGCCGUCAAAGGUUUGUUUGUUCAACAAUUAAAAUCCU
rnacentral:rRNA from 1 species